GACUCCGUCUCAAAAAGAAAAAAAAAGAAAAAGAAAAAAGACUUAGAAAGCUCUAAUUUUUCUCAAAGUUACUCUACCAACCAGCAGUGGUAGAGCAAGAACUGAAACCGUAUCUUUUCUCUUCAAGCAGGGUUCUUUGUAUUCCACAUACAGUGGAAAAGUGGUAAAUACCAAACUAAAUAGCAUGGUUGGGAACCAGACAUAGACAUGCAGGAAUGACAAUAAAAUUUCAGAGUUAAAAAAUCACCAAUCUAAUCCCCUUCCCAUUUACGAUUCUAUCCGCCCCCUACCCAUCUCCCGAAGGAAUUGACAUGUAGUCUCUGAACAGCUCCAACAACAGAAGACUGUCUCAGGAGAGACAAGGUCUUGCUGUGUUGCCCAGGCUGGAGUGCAUUGGCUGUUAACAGGCACAAUCAUGCCACACUGCAGCUUUCGAACUGUUGGGCACAAGUAAUCCUCCUGCCUCAACCUCCCAUUAACUGUACCAUUCAAUGGUUCCAGGCGCGGUGGUUCAUGCCUGUAAUCCCAGCACAUUGGGAGGCCGAGGCGGGCGG